rnacentral:rRNA from 1 species
CAUGAGUGGCGGACGGGUGAGUAACGCGUGGCAACCUGGCCUGUACAGGGGGAUAACACUUAGAAAUAGGUGCUAAUACCGCAUAACGGGGGAAGCCGCAUGGCUUUUCCCUGAAAACUCCGGUGGUACAGGAUGGGCCCGCGUCUGAUUAGCCAGUUGGCAGGGUAACGGCCUACCAAAGCGACGAUCAGUAGCCGGCCUGAGAGGGCGGACGGCCACACUGGGACUGAGACACGGCCCAGACUCCUACGGGAGGCAGCAG